UCCACCACCGGCCACCGGCCACAGGGUUUUUGGCUUUUUCCGCUCUCUACAACUACAACAGAAUAGAACCUUCCGGAAUUGAAAAGGACCGAAGAAGAGGGCGGCGGCAGCAAUGGCGGAGCACUUGGCUUCGAUAUUCGGAACCGAAAAGGACCGCGUGAACUGCCCCUUCUACUUCAAGAUCGGCGCGUGCCGCCACGGCGACCGCUGCUCCCGCCUCCACAACCGCCCCACCAUCAGCCCCACCCUCCUCCUCUCCAACAUGUACCAGCGCCCCGACAUGAUCACCCCCGGCGUCGACCCCCGCAAGAUCCAGGACCACUUCGAGGACUUCUACGAGGACAUCUUCGAGGAGCUCGACAAGUUCGGCGAGAUCGAGAGCCUCAACGUCUGCGACAAUCUCGCCGACCACAUGAUCGGCAACGUCUACGUCCUGUUCAAGGAGGAGGACCAGGCCGCGGCUGCGCUCCACGCGCUCCAGGGCAGGUUCUACAACGGCCGCCCGAUUAUCGCCGACUUCUCCCCCGUCACGGACUUUCGGGAGGCCACGUGUCGCCAGUUUGAGGAGAACAGCUGUAACCGAGGCGGUUAUUGCAAUUUUAUGCAUGUGAAACAGAUUGGGAGGGAGCUGAGGAGGAAGCUGUACGGGAGGUACCGCGGCUUUCGGGCUAGCCGGAGCCGGAGCCGGAGCCGGAGUUUGAGCCCGGUGCGGCACCAGAGGGAGAGGGAGAGGGAGAGAGAUCAUAGAGGGAAUGGGAGGAGAAGCAGGGACAGGAGGAGACGUAGCAGAACCAGGAGCAGGAGCAGGAGCCCGGUAGCGGCGGCGAGGGAAGGGAGCGAGGAGCGGCGAGCAAGAAUUGAGCAGUGGAAUCGAGAGAGGGAGGAGAAGCGGUGAUUGUUUGGCACUGGGAUUUGCUUUUAGUGGCCUGUAAAGCUCAUGUCGUGGACUUUAGUUUUGAUGACUUCCACUGCUAAUGCAGUGAUAACAUAUGCAGUUUAUGCUGGGUGUUUUUCUACAGUCUACACAACAUAUCGACAUCCAUAAUAAUAGAAUAUCCUAUGCUGGAUCUGUAUUAGAUUCUCAGCACACCAUAUCACCAGAUGAUUUUGUAUCAAAUGCUCACCAGUGAUAGGUAUCCAGGGGACCUAGAAGUUUUGUCAAGCUUAUGGGUUUUCUCUUCCUAAUUUUAUCAAGUGCAAGUUCUUGCGUUCUUUUCCUUCUCUUUUACUAAUAUUAUUGCCCGUGUAUGGAUUUAGGGUUAGCUGAACAAGAAAACAGGUCAGAAACAGACUAGCUAUGGUGUAGGCUGUCUUUAGGUCCUCCUUUGGUUUGAUUGGUACUAGGUAAUUUCUUCUGUGGGUAUAGAUCAUCACUCCAGUCGCAAAAGGUGCUCUACAAAUGUAAUGCAGUUAGAUUAUAUUUUUCUAGCACGCAAGUCACUUGUGACAUGUCUUGGAUCGUGUUUACAUUGAAAUGGUUUCUGGUAGCAAUGAGGUGGUAUGAAUGUAAUGAUGAUGCUAAACUAUAAUUUGUAGUAGUGACCUCUUCGUCCAGCCUCACUUAU